CAGAACCACAACUACAACACUACAACACGCUUCCCUCAGACAGGAGCCCUAGGGCUUACUCUUUAGGAAUACCAGUCAGCUGGUGGCUGCCGCUGCUACAACCGACCCAGCCACAGCUGAAAUACCCUCAACCUGGGCAGUGACUACUGUGCUCUACACAGUCAGCGGCUGAAGGGCAGUCACGGGCCAGCCAUUGAAAAUGCUCACGGUACACAUCCCUGCUGACCUUCCCCAAGACCAUGGAGAGGCAGCUGAGUCCUUAGUUUGAGGAAGACAGGAUAACAGCCUGUUCCCGCUGGGAGAGCUGCUAGAGGCCAGUGAGAUGGAGAGAGAGGCUUGCAGAGGUCACUGAUCAAUGGAUCACAGACUCUCAAGCUCAGCAGUGGUGGCCCAGGACUUUAAUAAUUCUAGGACUCAGAAGGCAGAGGGGGCAGAGUUCGAGACCAACCUGGUGGUCUACAGAGCAACGGGACAGCUGGGAGUAUGCAGUGAAACCCUACCUCGAAAAGACAAACAAACAAAAUAUCAUAGAUUCUCCAUCUAUGACACCGCUUGACACCAUCGGGCGGAACGCACAACAGUAAACGCCCCCGCCGCGACCAAUCAGCGAUUGCCGCACACCUCUGCCUUGGCCAAUCCACAGCGGUCUUGCAGUUCCACCCCCUUACCUAGGGUGUGAGGAAGCUGGGGCGCCCCGUGCCCAACCUGGGGAGUGUCCAGAGCCUGUUCCUCCCCCAGCACACCCCCGCGGUGUCCUUCAGCUCCAAACUAAGGAAAACAAAUGCCAGCCUCCUCCCUCUGACCCACAUGUCUCAACUCUAUGCCGCCUUACAGCGUUCAAGAGUCUUCUGCCAGCCUC
ensembl:processed_transcript